rnacentral:tRNA from 1 species
GUAUAGUUUAUAAGGAGGCUGCUAACUUUCUUGUAGCGGAAGCUACAA